rnacentral:rRNA from 1 species
ACUCCUACGGGAGGCAGCAGUGGGGAAUUUUGGACAAUGGGCGAAAGCCUGAUCCAGCAAUGCCGCGUGAGUGAAGAAGGCCUUCGGGUUGUAAAGCUCUUUUGUCAGGGAAGAAACGGUGUGGGCUAAUAUCCCGUACUAAUGACGGUACCUGAAGAAUAAGCACCGGCUAACUACGUGCCAGCAGCCGCGGUAAUACGUAGGGUGCAAGCGUUAAUCGGAAUUACUGGGCGUAAAGCGUGCGCAGGCGGUUUUGUAAGUUUGUCGUGAAAUCCCCGGGCUCAACCUGGGAAUUGCGAUGAAGACUGCAAGGCUAGAAUCUGGCAGAGGGGGGUAGAAUUCCACGUGUAGCAGUGAAAUGCGUAGAGAUGUGGAGGAACACCGAUGGCGAAGGCAGCCCCCUGGGUCAAGAUUGACGCUCAUGCACGAAAGCGUGGGGAGCAAACAGGAUUAGAUACCCUGGUAGUCCACGCCCUAAACGAUGUCUACUAGUUGUCGGGUUUUAAUUAACUUGGUAACGCAGCUAACGCGUGAAGUAGACCGCCUGGGGAGUACGGUCGCAAGAUUAAAACUCAAAGGAAUUGACGGGGACCCGCACAAGCGGUGGAUGAUGUGGAUUAAUUCGAUGCAACGCGAAAAACCUUACCUACCCUUGACAUGUACGGAAGCCACGAGAGAUCGAGGUGUGCUCGAAAGAGAGCCGUAACGCAGGUGCUGCAUGGCUGUCGUCAGCUCGUGUCGUGAGGUGUUGGGUUAAGUCCCGCAACGAGCGCAACCCUUGUCAUUAGUUGCUACGAAAGAGCACUCUAAUGAGACUGCCGGUGACAAACCGGAGGAAGGUGGGGAUGACGUCAAGUCCUCAUGGCCCUUAUGGGUAGGGCUUCACACGUCAUACAAUGGUACAUACAGAGGGCCGCCAACCCGCGAGGGGGAGCUAAUCCCAGAAAGUGUAUCGUAGUCCGGAUUGUAGUCUGCAACUCGACUACAUGAAGUUGGAAUCGCUAGUAA